rnacentral:lncRNA from 1 species
GGGCUGGCCUCACACUCAAAGGGAUCCUCCUGCCUCAGCCUCUCCAGUGCUGGGGUGACAAGUGUGUGCGCCACCACACCUGGCUCAUGUUACAUUCUAGGACUUGCUGAGCAGGUCAAAACAUAGCAACAGAGCCUUGCUGAGCCUCUGGGCUCAGCAACCAUCAAGAAUCUGCAUGGCCUGGAACACGUCACCCAGCUCAGUGGCCUCCCAGCUCUGCCAUGUGCAACUCAGGCAUCGAGACAUUCAUUUACGGCGGGCUCCUCCACCUAGGGUACCCUGGGGAGAAGACAGACGGACUCCUGAACCGCAAGGGCGCACGGGGAAGUCUGGGUCUUCGCGAUGCCACCGCCCGCGUGGCCCCCAGAGCCGACCCGGCUCCGGCAUCCGGUCAGGGCCUGGAGCCCGCAAAGCAGACUGCAGAAGGAAAGGCGACCUGGGCCUCCCGGUCCUUGGUUCCGCCCCAGAGCCCACCUGGUGGUUGCCCUGGUAAUCAAGCCUCAGAGACCC